AAGAUUGAGCGUUUCAUGAAACUAUUAGACUAAUAAAAUCUUAGGCACAAACUUGUAUUUUUUAUGGCUAAAUCAGGUGACAGGAAAGUUACUGCCCACCCGGUGCAUUGGUUGGUUAUGUGGUUAUUGGGUUCCACCAUGAGACAUGAAAUGAAACUCAUUCUUGAAUUGAUUAAGGUCUGCCUCACUCUUUAAAUUCGAAUAUGUUUGCUUUAAAGCAAAAAUCUUUGUAUGGUAGAUGGGUUUACCUAAAUAUUUUUGUUAUGGUGUAAUAUUUCGACACCUCCUACGUAUAUUAUCGUAACCAACAAAUUGACGAAAAUGACAUUUUUAGAUUUUCAAAUACUUUAUAACAUCGUUUAUCGUUUCAUCUAAUAAAAAAAAAUAUAUUUGCAAUAGAACCAAAGAUAUUGAGAGUGCAUAUUGUCGUAUGUUCAUAUUUACCGUAGUAAUAUAUCGUAUAGUGCAGUUAAUGUACUGUACGCGGGAGGCGAGUGAUCGUUUAGCCGCGCGAAGGAAUGGUAAGUAGUAGUACCGAUUGUAUACGCUGGAGAGGAGCACGAGCGCGGCUAAUAUCACAUUUUAAAAAAAUGUACUGAUUUAUAUUAUUUAAUGGACAGUAAGUAUAAGAUUAACUAUCAACUAUGUCAUCUAGGUCAAAACGAAUGAUUGAUGCAGUAAUGAAACCGGUAAAACAAUGUGAUAAUUUGAUUGGCAAAAACCGGUAAACGCUAAUAAUUCAACUUAUAGUGAUGAUGUGUGUACAUCCAACCCUUUUGUGGAAAAUACUACGAGGGUACAAGUUACCGCCCCUUUUUGACGCAGAUAUUGAUGAGAUAAACCAAUAGAUGGAUUUGUCCUAUUUUGGGUCAUAUGUGUCAUAUGAACUGUAGACUAAAAUGGUCAACGAAAAUGAGUGAUGAUGAAAGAAUAUUGAUUUUCAAUAGGCUUUAAGAUUUAGAAAACCGUGAAAAGCAGUAAGCCUUUAUUGAAAACUUGGUUGUCAAACAAAAAAUCUAAGGAUUUUCACUGAUAUGGAGUCUAGGCGUAGGUUUACUUUGAUAUAUAGAUUCCCAAGGGCUGUUUUAGACGACCAGGAAAACUACUUAACUGUGUACAAGAAGAUGUUUCUAAACACAUUUCCAUUAAGUAAACAAUUUGUCUAUAAGUCUUUAGAAAAUAAAGGUAACUAAGGUAAGUGGCUUGAUAGAAGCGGAUCUGCGAGGGCGUCAUACUAAUCAUCGCAAAGUAAUAACUAGGGAUGUUAUCAGAAGUAUAUGCGAUCACAUAAAAUCUCUUCAGCCUGUAGAGUCUCAUUACUCUCGCCGAGGAAGUAGUAAAAUUUACCUAGACGGAGAUCUAAAUUUCCAUCGCUUGUGUGAGUUGUAUAAUAAGUGAUUUAAUACAUUAACAUACUCUCCAAAAGCUAGUUCUGAACGGCAAUAUCGCGACAUCGUUAAUGCAUACUUUAAGAUUAAUUUUUAUAUGCCAAAGAAAUACCGAUGUGACAAGUGUCAUAUCUAUAAGAAUAUAUCUAGUCUGACACUAUAUGAAGCACAUAUUAAAAAUAAAGAGAUAGCUCGCCAAAAAAGUCGACCGAUAAAGAACUGGCCAAAGUAUCAGAUGGUAAACUAUUAGUGGCCACUUUCGACUUUCAAAAGUUCUUACUGCUCCAAAUGGUAAUAUAAGUAUACUUUAUUAUAAACGAAAGCUUUAACUGUUUAAUUUUACAGUUUUUAAUGUGGCUGAACAGGAAGCUACUUGUUUUAUGUGACAUGAAGUCCAAGGGAAACGCGAGGCAAACGAAGUGGCUAGUUGCUUAUAUAUAAGUACAUCUCCAAAUGUAAGGAUCAAGGUACAAGCGAGCUUCGGUUGCCGCUUUUAUUUUUAAAGUGACAAUACAUCAUUGCUUUUUAGAAGUUGGGCAUAACCAAAACGAGGGCGACAGUGUUCACGCCUUAAUAGAAAAAUGUACCAAGAAUAAACUUGCUUAUACACCAUUUGAGUGGUUUUGUUUAGUACGCUGGGCUAAACAAAAAGGAAAGCCUUAUAUUGUAGAAGAAUUACAACACACCGAUUUUUUUAAAUUACAAAACGUUAUUAAAGGGCAAUGGGUUUAAAAGUACUAAUGGAGAAAAAGUUCAAUGGAAUAAAAUAAGAGAGGUGUUUAAAACCUGAAGAUCCUUGUAAAUUACUAUAUUAUAUAAAUAUGAUUUAGCUGCCGAAGAUUACCAUACUUUAUGUAUAAAAGCGUCUGCCAGGAGACAAUGUGUAAUAAAUAUUGAUGUACUGUAUGCCAAUAGGCUGCCGAUGAUACCUCAGGCGAAAAAAGAUGAUUUGAUGAGCAUGUGCAAAUCUCAAAUCAUACCCAGCGCUCAUUAUGAUUUUGUCCAAAGCAUACCAGAUACUGUUAACGACAGUUUUCCGGAUUUAGAUACAGACUAAUGUUUUAAUAAUUAAUGUAAUAAUUUUAUUAAUAUUACAUAGUUUUUAUUAAUUUCUUUUAAUUUUUUGUACUGAAAUGUUUAAUAUAUGUUAUUUUAGAACAAUAUUGAUUGAAUUUUUUACGAAUAUUCAAGUAAUGAAUAAAUAUCUUUUUCUUAUUAGUAAAA